CAACAUCUCCUGAAUGCAACUCAGAUACUUUAAUUAAGCUAAAACUUC
rnacentral:tRNA from 1 species